GGCAUUGCGGCGUGCCUAUACAUGCAAGUCGAGCGGACAGAUGGGAGCUUGCUCCCUGAUGUUAGCGGCGGACGGGUGAGUAACACGUGGGUAACCUGCCUGUAAGACUGGGAUAACUCCGGGAAACCGGGGCUAAUACCGGAUGGUUGUUUGAACCGCAUGGUUCAAACAUAAAAGGUGGCUUCGGCUACCACUUACAGAUGGACCCGCGGCGCAUUAGCUAGUUGGUGAGGUAACGGCUCACCAAGGCAACGAUGCGUAGCCGACCUGAGAGGGUGAUCGGCCACACUGGGACUGAGACACGGCCCAGACUCCUACGGGAGGCAGCAGUAGGGAAUCUUCCGCAAUGGACGAAAGUCUGACGGAGCAACGCCGCGUGAGUGAUGAAGGUUUUCGGAUCGUAAAGCUCUGUUGUUAGGGAAGAACAAGUACCGUUCGAAUAGGGCGGUACCUUGACGGUACCUAACCAGAAAGCCACGGCUAACUACGUGCCAGCAGCCGCGGUAAUACGUAGGUGGCAAGCGUUGUCCGGAAUUAUUGGGCGUAAAGGGCUCGCAGGCGGUUUCUUAAGUCUGAUGUGAAAGCCCCCGGCUCAACCGGGGAGGGUCAUUGGAAACUGGGGAACUUGAGUGCAGAAGAGGAGAGUGGAAUUCCACGUGUAGCGGUGAAAUGCGUAGAGAUGUGGAGGAACACCAGUGGCGAAGGCGACUCUCUGGUCUGUAACUGACGCUGAGGAGCGAAAGCGUGGGAGCGAACAGGAUUAGAUACCCUGGUAGUCCACGCCGUAAACGAUGAGUGCU
rnacentral:rRNA from 1 species